rfam:Neurospora crassa OR74A unplaced genomic scaffold supercont12.9, whole genome shotgun sequence.
UAACCUCAGAUUAGGUAGGAAUACCCGUUGAAUUUAAAUAUAUUAAUAAACGGAGGAAAAAAAACUAAUAGGGAUUACCCUAGUAAUAGCGAAUAAAGUAGCAAUAAUUUAAAUUUAAAAUCUAACUUCGGCCUAAAUUAUAAUUUAUAAAGGAAGCUUUUAGUAAGGCACCUUCUAAAUCCCUUAGAAUAGAACGCUAUAAAGGGUAAGAGUCUUAUAUAAUUGGAUGCUAAUCUAAUAUAAAAUUCCUUCGACGAAUCGAAUAAUUUAGGAAUAUUAUUUAAAAUAGGAGGUAAAUUUCUUCUAAAGCUAAAUACCGGCUAGAGAUUAAUAAUAUAUAAAUAGAAUAAUUAAAAAAUAAAAAGCACUUUAAAAAGAGGGUUAAAUAGUAUAUGAAAUUAUUAAAAGGGAAGUGUUUAUAAUUAGACUUAUACUAUUUUAAUUAUCUAGUAUUUUUAUUAGUAUAUUUAGGACAGUUUAAACCAAUAUCGAUUUUAGUAGGGGGAUAAAGGUCCGGGGAACGUAGCUCCUCCGGGAAUAUUAUAACCUUGGGCGUAAUACCCUCGCUAGGAUUGAAGUUCGCGUAUUUAUAAGGAUAUUAGUAUAAUAGUUAUUAACGACCUAUUUUGAAAUAUAAAUUAAAGAAUUAAGGUUUUAUACGAAUAUUUAAAUAUAAAACCCAUAUAUAUAAUAAAAGUAAAUAUAAGUAAGAGUUUCGGUAUAUUAUCGACCGAUCUUAAUAUAUUCGGAUAGAUUUAAGUAAGAAUAUUAAACCUUAGACCCGAAAAAUAGUAAACUAUACUUAAAUAGGGUAAAGCUAAAGGAAAUUCUAAUAGAGGCUUACAACGGUUCUAACGUAUAAAUUGAUUAUUAAAUCUAAGUAUAGGGGCGAAAGACUAAUUGAACUAUUUAAUAAUUAGUUACUACUAAAAUUUCUUUUAAAAUAAUAAUAUUAUUCUUUAAUUUUAUAAAGUAAAGCGAAUAAUUAGGGACUCGGGGGCGCUUUUUAGCCUUCAUCCAUUCUCAAAUUUUAAAUAUAUAAGAAGCCCUUAUUAUUUAAUUGAAUGUAGGCAUUCGAAUAUACUAAUAUUAGUAGGCUAUUUUUAAUAAGUAGAAUUAGUAAUAUAAAAUAAACCGAACGCGGGGUUAAGGUAUUGGAAUAAACGUUUAUUAAAUACUAUAAAAGGCGUUAGUAUAUUUUAAUAGUAGGAUAGUAGCUAUAGAAGUCGGAAUCCGCUAAGGACUAUAUAAUAAUUUACCUACCGAAUAUACUAGCCCUAAAAAUAGAUAAUACUUAAACGUCCUACUUAUACCCUACCUUUAGAGUAAAAAUAAUAUUUUAAGGAGUAGACGGUUAUAGAGGUUAGUAACGAAGCUUAGGGCGUGAACCCGGGUCGAAUAGCCUUUAGUAUAGAUUUUAGUAAUAGUAGUAAAUAUUUUAAUAAGAAUUUGAAGGACCGAAGUAGGGAAAAGUUCUAUAUAAAUAGCGGUUAGAUAUAAGUUAAUCGAUCUUAAGCUAUAGGGAAAUUCUAUUUUAAAGGGGUACUUAUAUUCUAUAUAGCGAAAGGGAAGCCGGUUAAUAUUCUAGUACUUAAAUAUAAGUUUUAUAUAGUAACGUAAUUAAACGUAGAAAUAACGGUAGGGGCCCCGGAUAGAAUUUUCUUUUCUUCUUAAUAGUUUAUUAUUUUAAAAACAAUUUAUUUAGAGAUAGGGUUUAAUAGCCAGAAGAGUCCAAUACUUCUAUCGGGUCUAAUAUAUUCUUAACGUCCCUUAAAAAUCCGCGGAAGGGAAUAAUUCUUACGCUAAAUCGUAUUUAUAACCGCAAUAAAUCUCUAAGGUAAAUAAUUUUUAAUUAAUAGAAUAAUAUAAAUAAAGGAAGUCGGUAAAAUAAAUUUAUAAUUUUAGGAAAAGGAUUAGCUUUAAGGGUUAGGUACGUUGGGUUUUAAGUAAACGCCCUAAGAGUAGAUUACUAUUAGUCGGGCAACCGGCCAGCGGCUUUUAAUAUCCGGGUAUAGAAGCCUUUAAUAGACUUUAAUUAUUCGGCGUAUAUUUAAUAAUUAAUUUAGAAUUAGUAUAGAUAGGGGGAAUCUAAUUAUUUAAUUAAAAUAUAGUAUUAUAAUAGCUAGAAAAUAGUAUUAAUAUAAUAUAAUUUCUAUUUAAUAUUUUGAAUAUUAAAGUGAAGAAAUUUAAUUAAGCGUAGGUAAACGGCGGGAAUAACUAUAAUUCUCUUAAAGUAGCUAAAUACUUUAUUAUUUAAUUAGUAAUAUAUAUAAAUAGAUUAAUAAAAUUCCUACUAUUCUUAUUUAUUAUUUAACGAAAUUAUAGUUAAGGGAAUAAGUUUAGCAAAAUUAGCGGGGAAAGAAGAUUCUAUUAAAUUUAACUCUAGUUUAAUAUUAUAAAAAGAUAUAGGAAAUAUAGAAUAGGUAGGAACUUUAGCGCUAGUAAAAUACUACUAUUCCUAUUAUUUUUUUAUUUAUUUAAUUAAAUAGGGCUAAAUUUUCGUCCAACUUCUAAUUUUAAAGUCCUUUGCAAACCGACCCGGGUUAAAGAUAUUAUUAAGUAGGGAAUUUAAUUAGGGCGGUAUAUUUAUUAAACUAUAAUGUAAGUAUCUUAAAGGGGGCUUAUAGAGAAUAGAAAUCUCUAGUAGAAUAAAAGGGUAAAAGUCUCUUUGAUUUUGAUUUUUAAUAUAAAUAUAAAUUAUAAAAGUAUAGCCUAUUGAUCCUUUAGUCCUUCGAAAUUUGAAGCUAGAGGUGCUAGAAAAGUUACUAUAGGGAUAAUUAGUUUAUAGCGGCCAAGCGUUUAUAGUAAUAUUGCUUUUUAAUCCUUUAAUAUCGGUUUUUCCUAUUAUAUUGAAAUAGAAUUCGGUAAGCGUUAGAUUAUUUACUUAUUAAUAAGGAAUAUAAAUUGGGUUUAGAUUAUUAUAAAAUAGAUUAAUUUUACCCUACUAAUAACCUUAUUAUAAUAGUAAUUAAAUUUAAUAUAAAAGGAACCAUUUAUUUAAAUAAUUGGUUUUUGCGGUUGUUUAACCGGGCAGUACUACAACACUACUAUUUACUAAAUAAUAAUUAAACGCCUCUAAAUUAAAAUUUAUAUUAGAAUAUAAUAAUACUUUUAAUAUAUUAUAGACGUAUAAGAAUAGGCUCCGGCCUUGUAUUUUAGUAAGCAAUUCCUCCGUUGGCCUUAAAGUAGCUAGCGGUAAUUCGUAUAUUAUAAUUUUAAUACAUACUAAAUCAAAUCCUUUAUAAACAAUUUAAAUAUACAAAAGGGUCCUAUAAAUAGUAGAAUAACCUUAUUAUUACAAUCUACUAAAGGUAAGCCCUCCUUCGUUUAAAUUUCC